rnacentral:rRNA from 1 species
ACGCACGCUGGCGGCGUGCCUCACCCCUGCCAGUCGCACGGAAAGGCCCUGAUCUUGCGGGGUUCUUGUGUGGCGAACGGGGGAGUAACACGUGAGUAACCCGCCCCUGUCAGUGGGAUAACAUCAGGAAACAGGGGCUCAUACCGGGGAGAAUCUUCUGAUGCAUGGGGGGGGAUGGAAAGAUUCGGCGGUUGUGGCUGGAUUCGCGGGUUAUCCGCUAGUUGGGGGGGUAGUGGCGUACCAAGGCUAUGACGGGUAGCCGGCCUGGGAGGGUAACCGGCCACAAUGGGACUGAGGGACGGCCCAGACUCCUACGGGAGGCAGCAGUGGGGAGUAUUGCGCAGUGGGCGGGAGCCUGUUGCGGCGACGCCGCGUGCGGGAUGCCGGGCUUCGGGUUAUGAACCGCUUUGGCCGGUGACGAAGCGUGCGUGACGGUAAUGAGUAAGAAAGCACCGGCUAACUACGUG